rnacentral:rRNA from 1 species
GAUGAACGCUGGCGGCGUGCCUAAUACAUGCAAGUCGAGCGAACAGACGAGGAGCUUGCUCCUCUGACGUUAGCGGCGGACGGGUGAGUAACACGUGGAUAACCUACCUAUAAGACUGGGAUAACUUCGGGAAACCGGCGCUAAUACCGGAUAAUAUAUUGAACCGCAUGGUUCAAUAGUGAAAGACGGUUUUGCUGUCACUUAUAGAUGGAUCCGCGCCGCAUUAGCUAGUUGGUAAGGUAACGGCUUACCAAGGCAACGAUGCGUAGCCGACCUGAGAGGGUGAUCGGCCACACUGGAACUGAGACACGGUCCAGACGCCUACGGGAGGCAGCAGUAGCGAAUCUUCCGCAAUGGGCGAAAGCCUGACGGAGCAACGCCGCGUGAGUGAUGAAGGUCUUCGGAUCGUAAAACUCUGUUAUUAGGGAAGAACAAAUGUGUAAGUAACUAUGCACGUCUUGACGGUACCUAAUCAGAAAGCCACGGCUAACUACGUG